ACUUGGCGCGGGGUGGUCCUGGCACCGGGGCGCGGGCGCGGGAUGGACCGGGCACGGGUGGCGCGCGCCGGGGUGGCCGGCCUCGUCCUCCAGCUUUUCCUCCCGAUGCUCGGGGUCUGCGGGGCUCCGGCGCCGGCGCGCGUAUAUAUGAAUACAAAUUUAGGCUUAAAGAACGACAUACUUGCUCAGUAUUAGCUGCUACGGGGCUCAGUUGAACUCUCUUGGGCAAAGAAUCUCUUAUCAGGAUUCCAGAAAAAAGGCCAAGGUAAGCAUAGGACAAUGUCUAUUUUUAAAAAUAUAUUUUU
rnacentral:lncRNA from 1 species